AUGGCGGCACGGGGAAGAGGCAGUGUCAACGUGGCCGUGAUCCUUGGGGUGCUUCUUCUCUGCACGCUCGUGGCGGAGGCGGCGGUGUUCAACGUCGGCGACCGCGGCGGCUGGUCCUUCAACACCAAUUCCUGGCCCACCGGCAAGCGCUUCAAGGCCGGCGACGUCCUAGUGUUCAAGUACGACGCGACGGCGCACGACGUGGUGGCGGUGAGCGCGGCGGGGUACAAAGCAUGCGCCAAGCCAGCCAAGGGCGCCAAGGUGUACAAGUCCGGCGCGGACCGCAUCACCCUCGCACGCGGCACAAACUACUUCAUCUGCAGCAUCCCCGGCCACUGCAAGUCCGGCAUGAAAAUACUCCUGCACUGCCGAGAAAACCAGUAUUUCCACACACCUUUUGGCCUACUUGCCCUCACGCCUCCACUCCGGCGGGCCUAUAAAACCGCACCGGCUACUCCAUUGCCAACCACCACCGCACCUCACUCUCAGCAUUUCUCCUCUGCUUCUUCUCCUACUCCCUCCGUUUGGAAUUACUUGUCGCAGAAAUGGAUGUAUCUAGAUGUAUUUUAG
rnacentral:rRNA from 1 species